GUUCAGUGAUGUUCAAACAAAUGUCUGACCUGAAAUGUAAUGUAGACGAAUAAAAUAUUGCUGAG
rnacentral:snoRNA from 1 species